AAAGUUAUAAUUUAAAGGUAGAAUAAUUUCUUUUCUGGAAAUUUGUAGAAGUUCAAAUCUUCUUGGGCUUA
rnacentral:tRNA from 1 species